rnacentral:rRNA from 1 species
GACGAACCGUGCGAACGUUGUUCGGAAUCACUGGGCUUAAAGGGCGCGUAGGCGGGCGGCCGCGUCCGGGGUGAAAUCCCACGGCUCAACCGUGGAACGGCCUCGGAUACGGGCGGCCUCGAGGGGGGUAGGGGCAUCUGGAACUGUGAGUGGAGCGGUGAAAUGCGUUGAUAUUCACAGGAACUCCGGUGGCGAAGGCGAGGUGCUGGACCCCAUCUGACGCUGAGGCGCGAAAGCUAGGGGAGCGAACGGG